GAUGAAGAACGUAUUGAAAUGCGAUAAGUAAUGCGAAUUGCAGAAUUUCCGUGAGUCAUCGAAUCUUUGAACGCACAUUGCGCCCGCCAGUAUUCUGGCGGGCAUGCCUGUUCGAGCGUCAUUUCAACCAUCAAGCCCCCGGGCUUGUGUUGGGGACCUGCGGCUGCCGCAGGCCCUGAAAAGCAGUGGCGGGCUCGCUGUCACACCGAGCGUAGUAGAUUUUAUCUCGCUCUGGGCGUGCUGCGGGUUCCGGCCGUUAAACCACCCUUUUAACCCAAGGUUGACCUCGGAUCAGGUAGGAAGACCCGCUGAACUUAAGCAUAUCAAUAAGCGGAGGA
rnacentral:misc_RNA from 1 species